UACGUAGGUGGCGAGCGUUGUCCGGAAUUACUGGGCGUAAAGGAUGCGUAGGUGGAUAUUUAAGUGGGAUGUGAAAUCCCCGGGCUCAACCCGGGAACUGCAUUCCAAACUGGGUAUCUAGAGUGCAGGAGAGGAAAGCGGAAUUCCUAGUGUAGCGGUGAAAUGCGUAGAUAUUAGGAGGAACACCAGUGGCGAAGGCGGCUUUCUGGACUGUAACUGACACUGAGGCAUGAAAGCGUGGGUAGCAAACAGGAUUAGAUACCCGCGUAGUCC
rnacentral:rRNA from 1 species